GGGCCUGUAGCUCAGUUGGCUAGAGCGCACCCCUGAUAAGGGUGAGGUCGGUAGUUCGAUUCUACCCAGGCCCACCA
rnacentral:tRNA from 2 species